rnacentral:rRNA from 1 species
UACGUAGGGAGCAAGCGUUACCCGGAUUUACUGGGCGUAAAGCGUCUGCAGGCGGCUUAUCAAGUUGGGUGCGAAAUCUCUCCGCUCAACGGAGUAAAUUGUAUCCAAAACUGAUAAGCUAGAGGACAGUAGAGGUGCGUGGAAUUACCGGUGUAGCAGUGACAUGCGUAGAUACCGGUAGGAACACCAAUGGCGAAGGCAGCGCACUGGGCUGUUCCUGACGCUCAGAGACGAAAGCGUGGGGAGCGAA